rnacentral:misc_RNA from 1 species
GUGAAUCAUCGAAUUUUUGAACGCAAAUUGCGCUAUCCUCGGAGAGUAUGCCUGUUUGAGGGUCAGCCUAAAAAAAAAUGGACAUCGUCGCUGUUUCGCGGUGAUGUGAGUCGGAAAUUGGGCCAUCUUAAACCUUUUGGUUUUUAAGCGACUUAAAAUUUUCUUUUGACUCCAUGAAUGUUUCUAAGAUUUAUAUCUUUACACAUUUAAGGGUAUCGAUUUUAUUAGACUUGGCGUUUAUAUCGGAG